GAUGAACGCUGACAGAAUGCUUAACACAUGCAAGUCAACUUGAAUUUGGGUUUUUAACUUCGGUUUGGGUGGCGGACGGGUGAGUAACGCGUAAAGAACUUGCCUCACAGCUAGGGACAACAUUUGGAAACGAAUGCUAAUACCUAAUAUUAUGAUAAUAGGGCAUCCUAUAAUUAUGAAAGCUAUAAGCGCUGUGAGAGAGCUUUGCGUACCAUUAGCUAGUUGGAGAGGUAACGGCUCACCAAGGCGAUGAUGGGUAGCCGGCCUGAGAGGGUGAUCGGCCACAAGGGGACUGAGACACGGCCCUUACUCCUACGGGAGGCAGCAGUGGGUAAUAUUGGACAAUGGACCGAGAGUCUGAUCCAGCAGUUCUGUGUGCACGAUGAAGUUUUUCGGAAUGUAAAGUGCUUUCAGUUGGGAAGAAACAAAUGACGGUACCAACAGAAGAAGUGACGGCUAAAUACGUG
rnacentral:rRNA from 1 species